UACAGGGGGUGCAAACGUUGCUCGGAAUCAUUGGGCGUAAAGCGCACGUAGGCGGUUCGUUAUGUCGGAUGUGAAAGCCCUUGGCUUAACCGAGGAAGUGCAUCCGAAACUGGCGAGCUAGAGUACGAAAGAGGAUCGCGGAAUUCCCGGUGUAUAGGUGAAAUUCGUAGAUAUCGGGAGGAACACCGGUGGCGAAGGCGGCGAUCUGGGUCGAUACUGACGCUGAGGUGCGAAAGCGUGGGGAGCAAACAGG
rnacentral:rRNA from 1 species